rnacentral:tRNA from 1 species
AAAGGGAGACCUAAUUCGGGUAGGAGACGAAAAAAAAGUAGUCCCUACCAAGAAUCAAUCCCAAAAGGUCGGAGCGAGGCGAAAUUGGCUUUCAAACUAGGUUCUGGGUUCACACAAGACCUGAAUCAGGAACAAGGGCUAUUAGCUCAGGUGGUUAGAGCGCACCCCUGAUAAGGGUGAGGUCCCUGGUUCGAGUCCAGGAUGGCCCACCUGCACAGGUGGCAAAAAGAAAGAAAAGAAGCGAGGAAUCAGCACCUUAUCUUACUUAUAUAGUAAGAGAGAAUGCUGGCUCUGAGUUCAGAGUCCAGAGGAACCUUGAAAACUGCAUAGAGCUAGGUGAAAAAACCAAAAAAGAAGACCGCAAG